ACAGGUUAUGCAUCACAUUCAAACACUUUCUUUUGAGCUCAGUUAAGUCUCACGUCAGAAACAGGAGGCAGAAACUCCCAAAGCUGACAUGGAAGAACUUUGUAAGGCCUUCGUUAUGGCCACAGGAGGUGCAGCAACUGUGAUCCUGACUCCUGCUCUUCUGGCCGGCAUGGGUUACACCUCACUACCAGCAAUAAUAGCAGCUAUUGUGGCUGCAAUUACUAAUGCAGGCGUAACAGCAGGAGCUUUGAUGACAAUCAUGGGUCUUUUUGGUGAGCGAAAUAUUUUAUUUAUAUCUUUUUCAGUCAAUGUAAAAAUCUGGGAAAGCUGUUAAAAACAAAAAAGCAUGUUUUUAUAGCAGAGAGGAGCAGCCUGAGCUUUAUUUCUAACAUUAUUCUAUCAACAGACAUUUACAUCGAUAGUCUG